rnacentral:rRNA from 1 species
AUUGAACGCUGGCGGCAGGCCUAACACAUGCAAGUCGAGCGGAUGAGGGGAGCUUGCUCCCUGAUUUAGCGGCGGACGGGUGAGUAAUGCCUAGGAAUCUGCCUGGUAGUGGGGGAUAACGUUCCGAAAGGAACGCUAAUACCGCAUACGUCCUGCGGGAGAAAGCGGGGGACCUUCGGACCUUGCGCUAUCAGAUGAGCCUAGGUCGGAUUAGCUAGUUGGUGAGGUAAUGGCUCACCAAGGCGACGAUCCGUAACUGGUCUGAGAGGAUGAUCAGUCACACUGGAACUGAGACAAGGUCCAGACGCAUAAGGGAGGCAGCAGUGGGGAAUAUUGGACAAUGGGCGAAAGCCUGAUCCAGCCAGGCCGCGUGUGUGAAGAAGGUCUUCGGAUUGUAAAGCACUUUAAGUUGGGAGGAAGGGCUGCUGGUUAAUACCCUGCAGUUUUGACGUUACCAACAGAAUAAGCACCGGCUAACUUCGUG